GACGAACGCUGGCGGCGUGCUUAACACAUGCAAGUUGAACGGUCCGGCAUGGAAGCUUGCUGAAGUGUCGGGUAGUAGCGAACGGGUGAGUAACGCGUAGGUAACCUGCCUUGUAGCGGGGGAUAACUAUUGGAAACGAUAGCUAAUACCGCAUAACAAUGGAUGACACAUGUCAUUUAUUUGAAAGGGGCAAUUGCUCCACUACAAGAUGGACCUGCGUUGUAUUAGCUAGUAGGUGAGGUAACGGCUCACCUAGGCGACGAUACAUAGCCGACCUGAGAGGGUGAUCGGCCACACUGGGACUGAGACACGGCCCAGACUCCUACGGGAGGCAGCAGUAGGGAAUCUUCGGCAAUGGGGGCAACCCUGACCGAGCAACGCCGCGUGAGUGAAGAAGGUUUUCGGAUCGUAAAGCUCUGUUGUAAGUCAAGAACGAGUGUGAGAGUGGAAAGUUCACACUGUGACGGUAGCUUACCAGAAAGGGACGGCUAACUACGUGCCAGCAGCCGCCGUAA
rnacentral:rRNA from 1 species